CUUGAUGGGAUGGGGGCGUCAUGAUGGUGACAUCGUGACAGGAUGGGGACAUUGGGAUGGGAUGGGGACAUCAGGAUGGUGACAUCAUGACAGGAUGGGGACAUCAGGAUGGGAUUAAUGGGGACAUCGUGAUGGGAUGGGGACAUCGUGGUGGGGACAUCGUGGUGGUGACAUCGUGGUGGGGACAACAUGGUGGUGACAUCGUGAUGAGAUGGGGACAUCAGGAUGGGAUGGAUGGGGACAUCGUGGUGGUGACAUCGUGAUGGGAUGAGGACGUCAUGGUGGUGACAUCGUGGUGGGAUGGGGACAUCAUGGUGGGAUGGGGACGUCGUGAUGGGGACG
rnacentral:lncRNA from 1 species